GUAUUUUAUCGUGUAUGCUUGAAAUGCAAGAUAUUUCCUUUAUUGAAGCGUUAUUUAUUAAUUGCUUUUAUAUUUAGUGCGAAAUCAGUUGUAGAAAUUAGUUAAACAGUCAGCUGGAAAAGUAUUUAAUAUGAAACCGGCAAACAAGUCAUUUGCAGUAUAUAGGCCGCCUUCAAUGCAAAGUCUGUUCAUGUAUUGUGAUAAUUGAUUUAUCAUGUAAUAAUUGAAAUUUCUAACACACCAGUCAGAAACAUAACCUCAAUUCAGUGAUAUAUGAAUAAAGAGAAAGAAAAUUACAGUGCUGAUAACCCCUACGAAAAUGGAUUUCAAACUAGGGAAAUUUUCUCCAAUAGAGAAGAUAAAUACAAAGUUAGAUAAUAUAUUAGAAAUUAUUAAUCCUUUGUCACCAAAAAAAAACAAGCAAGGCUUGAAAACAUGCAAG